CUAAUUCCAUGGCCCAUCUUAGGAAAAAUAGAUCCACAAUUCUAUCUCAGUUACAUGCCCAACUCCACAAUUUUAGGGGGGAAAACAGAUCUCAUAUCCCUAAUUCCAUCUGACUAUCUUAGUUCCUCUCUACGAAUCUACUCCAGUGUUCUUCGCGCCCCCUAAUGACUCACCCCUCUCGAUCUCUCAUCUCUCCUCCGACACCUUCGCCCUUUCAUUCUCUUCCUCGGUUCCUCCCGCUUUCUCUCUCCACUAUUCACAAGCACUGAACCCUCAUAUUCCGGUUCUCUCGGGGUUCGACUAGAACUCCACGGCGCCGUAGUCGUCUGGGUUUUGGGUGGCGCCCAUCACGGCUCGCCAUGGUGGUGGCGGUUUGAUUGGUGGCAGACGGGGAGAGAGGAGGAGAGAGAAAGAGAAACUGUAGCAAAAGAGAUGAUAGAGGUAUGGGGUUUCUUCGUCUUAGAAAUUAUAUUCUCAGAGGAGUAGGUUUUCAGUUAAAAAGUAAAAACAAAAUAGAGUACAACGCCUGUAUGCUUCGGUUUCUGUGCCAGUAGCAAUUAUACUAUGGCAAUAGUAAUGUUGUGGUGUUUUCUGUUCAAAGUAGUUCACAUUUGUUACUAAAAUGUAUGAAACCAUGAAUUAAAUGGCUUCUAAGAAGCAGUUGCCACUUUCUUUGUUAAAGUUUUGGUGUAAAAAUAUCCUUAUGUAUCUAAUUAAUUGUUAUCCCAGCCCAGAUUUUGUUACUUGCUUUAGCUUUUGUGGAAUCAUUUUGGGGUGUUAUUUUUUAUAGUAGUGUUCGGUUAUUACCCGAAAUACCGAAUUUACAAUUCGAUAAUUCGGUACUCGAUUAUUCGGUUAUUACCAAAAUUCGAUUAUUAGUUGGGAUAUUGAAAAUAGGAAUAUUUCGGUAUUCGGUUAUAAUCGAAUAGACUAUUCGGUUCGGUUAUAACCGAAUGAUCAGUCCUAGUAAUAUAUAUCUAACAAAAUACAACUGAUUUUAAAUUUUCCGUUCACCCUAAUAAAUUAUCUCGGUCGUCCAAAGUUUAAGAUAAAUCACACAUUCUAUGAAGUGUUGGAGGCUCGGGACACAGCUAGUAUAUACUCUCUCCGUUCCUAAAAGAUUGUUGUUUAAGGUUUUGGCACAUGGAUUAAGAAAGUGUCAUUUACUAAGUAAAAUUUGUUUGAAAUUCUAUCACUACCUCCCUUAUGGGAAAUUGAAAACUAUUAAUACAAAGAAGAGAAUUUAUUGGAACAAUGAGAGAAGGUAGGGGUAAUAUAGAAAAGUAAAUAAUUUAUUUUCCUCAAAAGUUGUAAACGACAAAUUUUUUGAAAUAAUUUUUUUUCUUCUAAAACGAUAAUCUUUUAGGAACGUUUUAGGAACGGAGGGAGUAAUAUAAUAGAAUGAUGAGUGGUUGUACCGAGAGGAUAAAAGCCUAGCACAUCUGAUCAUGGCAGAGUAAUAUAGGCCCUACUUCUUAUAUGCUUAAGUCGGUGUAUCCCAAGUUUAAUGAAAAUGUAAUUAUUUUUUAGAAAUGAACACAAGAAUUAAGAUAAUGAUUGGAAAACAUUAAAUAUAGUAUUCAAUUGUCUAUAAUACUUUUAAAUCUUUUGUUGAAAUAAGAAGAGUUUUGUUAGGAUAAAGAGAGAGAAAGAGUUUAAAAUAUCAAAAAAUAGGCAAAGUAAUGAAGGGUAAUUUUGGAAAAACAUUCAUUAAUUCUCCUAGAUUUGAACAAACGUCAAAUAAUUAGGGACAAAUAAAAAACUCUAAAACGUCAAAUAAUUAGGGAUGGAGGGAGUAUAACUUUGGUUUUCUCACUAUUUUUUGUCCAAUAAAUAAUAUUCUCUUUUUUCAAUACAAGUACAAUAUAGACAUUUAAUAUUAUAUUUAAUGCUAUACAAUUAUCCUUAAAUAUUGAUCACACAUCCUCUACAUGGCCCGUAUGAAAAUAAGAUUCCUUAUUAGGUCAGAUUACUUAAUCGCAUUGAAAUGAAUCUCCUUAAAUAAAAAAAAUCGAAUUUUAUCUUGACACUUUCCUUAAGAGUUAGAAAUUAAAUAUAAUUAAAAAUUCUAUUUUUUUUUAAAAUUCUAUAAUGGCCCAAACUAAUUGCUACGUCUAUGUGAAUCAUGACUGACCCAAUCAUCUAGGUCCGCUAAUAAUCAUUCAAACACAUUUCUUUCAAACAAAGGGAAUCUUCCUGUGCAUGUAAUAAUUCAGCCACCACACUUGUUUCUUUAUCAAUUAUAAGAACAGAUCCUCUGUUCCUAUUUCUCUCCGUUCCUAAAAAUUUGUCGUUUUAGAAGAAAAAAAUUGUUCCAAAAUGUUUGUCGUUUACAACUUUCGAGGAGAAUUAAUUAUUUACUUUCCUAUAUUAUCCUUACCUUCUCUUAUUGUCCCAAGAAAUUUUCUCUCUUAUAUUAAUAGUUUUCAACUUCCUAUAAAGGGGUAGUGAUAGAAUUUUAAACAAAUUUUACUUGGUAAAUGAUACUUUCUUAAUCCAUGUGUAAAAACUUUAAACGGCAAUUUUUUAAGAACGGAGGUAGUAGUAUUAAAUGACUUUCUUAAUUCAUGUAAAAACCUUAAUUGAUAAUUUUUUAGGAAAAGAGGUAGUAUUAAUGCAAAACAUUUUUCUUAUAUAAAAAGGUAAGCUAGGAUCUUCUAGUUGCUUACUUCAAUUGCGUAUUUCUCACAUGUAGCAUUAUUGGGUCGUCUUAUAGUAUACAUUUUUUUUUUGUUAUCAAAAUAGAAGAAGCGAGAUAAGAAACGGUACACCUACAGGCUACAAUCAGGUCUUGCCCCAUCGUCUGGAAGAGUCGUGAUAGACGAGUCAUAUGGUGACUGCCACCACCACGUACACGGUGAUUGUUCUCGAAAACUGCCGAGUCUCGUCGCCGCCGGCCGCCGUGGUCGAUACCUCUCUCCCCCUCACCUUUUUUGACAUAAUAUGGAUAAUGUUUCAUCCGUUGAGCCGUGUUCUCUUCUAUGAUUUCCCAUGCUCCACAACCAACUUUACCCAUACCGUUGUUCCCAGUCUUAAAAAUUCAUUAUCCCUUGCUCUCAAACACUUCUUUCCAUUGGCCGGUAAUUUGACAACCCCUCCAAAUAUUUCAAUCACCAAUCCUCAGAUUCGUUACUUGGAUGGCGACUCUGUUUCACUAAUAUUUGCCGAGUGUACCAGUGCCGAUUUAAUCAUCUUUCGGGAAAUCACGCUCGAGAUGCUCAGGGCCUGCCCUGAGUUUUGAAGGGCCUAAAGCGGACAACAACAAAAUGGGCCUUUUUCGAAUUGCUAUUAAGAUAGGCAUAAAAAACGAAGAACUUUUACUGAACAAAAGAGCAUCAAUACAAAAGAAUACCAAAUAUAAUAACCGACUAUUUUAAUAUUUCUAAAACAUAAGUCAAACAAGUAAUCAGUUCAAAAACAUCCCUUGAAUAUCAUCAUUCUUGCAGUUUUAGCAGCAAAAGUAUUAAUAAUAUCCGCACAAUCAAUCUUAUCCGCCAUCUCAUGUUCAAUGGAUAGGAUGGAUAAUCCAUUCAACCUUUCUUGUGACAUAGUUGAGCGGAGGUAGUUCUUAAUUAGCUUCAACUUCGAAAAACUUCUUUCUCCGGAAGCAACCGUAACAGGGAUAGUCAAUAAUAUCCGAUACACAAUCCACACAUUUGGAUAACAAUCCUCCAUCAAUUUCAAUUGAUUGAGCACUUCAAUUGGUUUUGUUAUCUCUUUUGGUAAACCUUCUCUGAAGACUUUCAAUUCCGAAAACAACUCAUUUCCGUUGAUAUCGGAAGUUCCUUCAUGUUUCAAAGCAUCUUCUAAUUUGGAGCAAUACAUCAUUAAACGUUCAUCGGUUGUAGACUUUAACUUGUUCACAUCAAACAAAAAAUCCCAAAUUUCCUUAUAUUUCUCAAACUGUUCAAACCGGCUCUUAAGUGAUGAAAGAGCUUGAUCUACUAUAGAUAAGAAGUAGUUAACUCUAAAUGAUUCUUCAGCCGAAAGGGUCACCUCUUCACUCCCAUUCUCAUCAAAAUAUUUCUUACGAUGAAUGACACGCUUCUCGUAAAAUACGGGUUCAACUCCCAUUUUGGACGCAAUUGCCUUAGCUUCAUCGAUAGCCUCCGCCAAACCACUUUCUCUAUAUUUCUCAAGAAAGGAAAUAAGCCCAUUUAACUGAUCAAUGGCAACAUCAAUAUGCAUAUCUUCUUUUUGCAAGGUCUUGCUGACAACGUUAACUGCAAAUAAAAUAGUAUGCCAAACAACCAUGCUAACUAAGAAUCCAAAAUCCUCAAUUGCAUAUCUUACUAAGGCAUCAGCUUCACUCUUUGCACCAGCAUCUUCACGAGAAUCGGCUAAUUCAAGUAAAGCCUCUCUGAUUUCUGGAGCUUGGUAUCUUAUUGCUUUAACACUUUCAACACGGCUUUCCCAACGCGUUUGUGAUAAUGACUUAACAAUGAGAUUUGCAACAUGUUUUAUCAAAACUUGCCAUCGCUUGGUAGAAGCCGCAAACAAACAGUAGAUACGUUGUACAACUCCAAAAAAAGAUAUAGCUUUGUUACAACAGUUGGCCAUAUCGCAAAGCAUGAGGUUAAGACUAUGGCAACCACAUGGCGUGUAAAAUACUCUAGGAUUUCUAUCGAGAAGCCUUUUUUGAACACUUUUGUGUUUCCCUUUCAUAUUGGAGCCGUUAUCAUAUCCUUGCCCUCUUAUAUCACUAAUUGUAAGAAGAAUUCCUCCACUUUUGGUGUAUUCAUUGAAACAUCCACACAUCGUAUUACAAGUGACAUUUGUUCUUCGUGACUUAUAUCUAGAGUACAAUCAAGAAUCACGGCAAAAUAUUUUGCAUUUUUUAUCUUACAAAUCAUUGCACUUUUGACAUCAUCAGCAAGCAUUUGUAUCAAUUCAUUCUGAAUUUUAUGGCUAAGAUAAUGGUAAUGAAUCUCACCUUUCAAAAUCCGGCGAAAGUGCUCUUGCAUUAUUGAAUCAUAUACAGCAACCAUUUCGAUUAUGGUUAGAAAAAUUCCAUUCUUCUCUUGAUAAAUCUUCUCGUUAUCUCCACGAAAUGCUAAAUUCACUUUAGCAAGUGCUUUCACAGCAACAAUUAUCCUUACUAGCACCCCUUUCCAAUGCUCUUUCUCUUUGUUGAUUUGAUCUUGCACACUUUUGUCGAUUGUUUCAUUCUUUUUCAAUCUCCUCUCUAAUUCAAUCCAUUUGCUCAUGCAAGCAAUAUGCUCNNNNNNNNNNNNNNNNNNNNNNNNNNNNNNNNNNNNNNNNNNNNNNNNNNNNNNNNNNNNNNNNNNNNNNNNNNNNNNNNNNNNNNNNNNNNNNNNNNNNNNNNNNNNNNNNNNNNNNNNNNNNNNNNNNNNNNNNNNNNNNNNNNNNNNNNNNNNNNNNNNNNNNNNNNNNNNNNNNNNNNNNNNNNNNNNNNNNNNNNNNNNNNNNNNNNNNNNNNNNNNNNNNNNNNNNNNNNNNNNNNNNNNNNNNNNNNNNNNNNNNNNNNNNNNNNNNNUUGCCCUCUUAUAUCACUAAUGUCGAGUUGAAGAGUGGACAAGACUUCUUCUAGUUCACCAAAAAGUCCGGAUCCCGUUGUAUCUUCCACUUUCAAAAAUUGUAAGAAGAAGUCCUCCACUUUUGGUGUACUCAUUGAAACAUCCACACAUCAUAUUACAAGUGACAUUUGUACUUCGUGACUUAUAUCUGGAGUACAAUCAAGAAUCACGGCAAAAUAUUUUGUAUUUUUUAUCUUACAAAUCAUUGCACUUUUGACAUCAUCAACAAGCAUUUGUAUCAAUUUAUUCUGAAUUUUAUGGCUAAGAUAAUGGUAAUGAUCUCACCUUUCAAAAUCCGGCGAAAGUGCUCUUGCAUUAUUGGAUCAUAUACAGCAACCAUUUCGACUAUAGUUAGAAAAAUUUCAUUCUUCUCUUGAUAAAUCUUCUCAUUAUCUCCACGAAAUGCUAAAUUCACUUUAGCAAGUGCUUUCACAGCAACAAUUAUCCUUACUAGCACUCCUUUCCAAUGCUCUUUCUCUUUGUUGAUUUGAUCUUGCACACUUUUGUCGAUUGUUUCAUUCUUUUUCAAUCUCCUCUCUAAUUCAAUCCAUUUGCUCAUGCAAGCAAUAUGCUCGUUACUACCUUCAUGACUUUUGAGCCUUUGACCAAUAUUUCUCCAAUUUCUCAAGCCAUUAGUAGCCAACAAAGUAUUGUUUUCACCUUGCGCAAACAAUUUACAACAAAAGUAAAAUACUUUGUCGAAAGCACUUGAAUAUACAAGCCACCUCCUAUCUUUCUUCUCUCCAUUUGACAAAUGACGGAUGUAAUGAAAGGAAGUGAAAUGCCUACCCUCUGUAUCCUUAGGAAAUUGAUCCCCAUCUCUUCUUAAAGGCCCUCUUUCAAAUACAAAGUCAAUAAAAUUUUGAUCAAUUGUGUCCCAGUUGCUUGGAUCAUCAAUGUCUGUAGGUCCAUAUUCACAAUCCAAGCCUUCAUUGUGACCUUCAUCAUUCAUAUCUUCAUGAUAUCUCUCAUUCACGCAUUCAUUUGGUUCCUUCGCAAAGACUUCCGUAUCGUUCGCUAAAUUUUCGUGUUCUUCAUUCCCCGUAUCUACUAUUUGUUCUUCAUUCUCUGACUGUUCAACCACACUAGAACUCUCCUUUUAUUUCUUACUACCAAAAAAUUUAUCAAGUGAACCCGCUUGAGAUUGAACUAAUUCAUUCGACUUUUUCUUUCUUUUUCUUUUUUCAGAUCCAGACAUAUACUUUUUAGGAGCCAUGGUGAAUUAAAAUUUAAAAAUCUGUAAAUUAAUUCAUAUGCCUAAAUUUAGCAAAUAUUAAAAUAUUUGAAAAAAAAACAAAACCAUUUGGGCUAAAUAACCUAAACUAACACAAUUAAGUCUAGAAAUCAAAGAUUGUUAUAAAUCCGACCCAAUUUACAUGUAUAAUUAGCACACUAAUGUUCAUAUAUAUUCAUUAUUCACAUAUUCACAUUCAUUAGCACACCAUUAAUGUUCAUAUUCACCAGCUUGAGCUUGAGUAGGAUUCACAAGCAACCGCAGCUUUUUCGCCAUUAAUUUCAUCAAAACAUAUCACAAUCAAAUCCAACUUAAUUACAGAGGAUAUAUGUACGAUAGAUUUAUCUCGUGAUUAUCAAAUAAUUAAUUCCAACAUGCUUUAAUUAUUUCAAAAAAAACCACAGUAGCAUACUAGCAUUCAAAAAUCGGCAGUAGCAUUCAUUCAUUCAAUACCCAAUAGCAUUAAAAAAAAUCACGGACCAGAGUAGCAUAAAAAAAUCCAGAGUAGAAUAAACAAAUCUCUCAUAAACAAAACAAUUAAUUUUAAAACCCUAAAAAAUAGAAUUAAUACCUGAAAUUGAACUAUUGAAGGAGACGAAGAGAAGAUCAAUUGAUUAUUUGUGUGAAGGAGAUUGAUUGUGCGGAUAUUAUUAAUACUUUUGCUGCUAAAAUUGCAAGAAGGAUGAUAUUCAAGUGAUGUUUUUGAACUGAUUACUUGUUUGACUUAGUGAUAAUGUGAUAUCUAAAUGAUGUUUUAGAAAUAUUAAAAUAGUCGGUUAUUAUAUUUGGUAUUCUUUUGUAUUGAUGCUCUUUUGUUCAGUAAAAGUUCUUCGUUUUUUAUGCCUAUCUUAAUAGGAAUUCGAAAAAGGCCCAUUUUGUUGUUGUCCGCUUUAGGCCCUUCAAAACUCAGGGCCGGCCCUGUGUGAAGGAGAUGAACUAUUUGACAUUUGUGUGAACUGAGUCUGUGAUUUCUAUUAGAUCUUCAUCUAUUAUCGUUUGUUGGAGGAGAAGAGGAGUAGUAGUAAUUCUCUUCUGCUAAACUUGGACCCGCAUAUCUCGUGAACCUAAGACUUGUUGGCAAAUAGGCAAAAAUAGACGGACUAAUAACCUUGUUAAGUUGGACAUCCACAGAUACUAUCAGACCAAUAUAUUAUUUAGGGGGCCCUAAAAAUUUUUGGGCCUAAAGCCCAGGCACCU
rnacentral:lncRNA from 1 species